GAUGAACGCUGGCGGUAUGCUUAGCACAUGCAAGUCGAACGGUACCUUCGGGUAUAGUGGCGGACGGGUGAGUAACGCGUGAGAAUCUAUCUUCAGGUCGGGGACAACAGUUAGAAAUGACUGCUAAUACCGGAUGUGCCGAAAGGUAAAAGAUUUAUUGCCUGAAAAAGAGCUCGCGUCAGAUUAGCUAGUAGGUGGUGUAAGAGACUACCUAGGCUUCGAUCUGUAGCUGGUCUGAGAGGACGAUCAGCCACACUGGAACUGAGACACGGUCCAGACUCCUACGGGAGGCAGCAGUGGGGAAUUUUCCGCAAUGGGCGAAAGCCUGACGGAGCAAUACCGCGUGAGGGACGAAGGCUCUUGGGUCGUAAACCUCUUUUCUCAAGGAAGAUUCAGACGGUACUUGAGGAAUAAGCAUCGGCUAACUCUGU
rnacentral:rRNA from 1 species